rnacentral:rRNA from 1 species
AGGAUAAACGCUGGCGGCGUGCCUAACACAUGCAAGUCGAACGCGCUUUUUUCGCAAGAGGAGAGCGAGUGGCGGACGGGUGAGUAACACAUGGGUACCUACCUUGGAGUGAGGGAUACCGGCGAGAAAUCGCCGACAAUACCGCAUACGCUUCUCUUCACCGGGAAGCAAAGUUGCGCAAGCGACGCUCUGAGAUGGGCCUGUGGCCGAUUAGCUAGUUGGUGGGGUAACGGCCUACCAAGGCGACGAUCGGUAGCUGGUCUGAGAGGACGAUCAGCCACACUGGGAUUGAGAACGGCCCAGACUCCUACGGGGGGCAGCAGUGAGGAAUUUUCGGCAAUGGGGGCAACCCUGACCGAGCAACGCCGCGUGCAGGAUGACAGUCUUCGGAUUGUAAACUGCUUUUCUCGGGGAAGAGAACGGACGGUACCCGAGGAAUCAGCCCCGGCUAACUACGUGCCAGCAGCCGCGGUAAU